AGUGAACGCUGGCGGUAGGCCUAACACAUGCAAGUCGAACGGCAGCACAGUAAGAGCUUGCUCUUACGGGUGGCGAGUGGCGGACGGGUGACGAAUACAUCGGAAUCUACUUUUUCGUGGAUGAUUACGGAGGAAAACUUACGCUAAUACCUCAUACUUCCUACGGGUUAAAUCAAGGGAGCUUCGGACCUUUCGCGAUUGAUUGAGCCGAUGUCGGAUUAGCUAGUUGGCGAGGUAAAGGCCCACCAAGGCGACGAUCCGUAGCUGGUCUGAGAGGAUGAUCAGCCACACUGGAACUGAGACACGGUCCAGACUCCUACGGGAGGCAGCAGUGGGGAAUAUUGGACAAUGGGCGCAAGCCUGAUCCAGCCAUACCGCGUGGGUGAAGAAGGCCUUCGGGUUGUAAAGCCCUUUUGUUGGGAAAGAAAAGCAGCAGGUUAAUACCCCGAUGUUCUGACGGUACCCAAAGAAUAAGCACCGGCUAACUUCGUG
rnacentral:rRNA from 1 species